rnacentral:rRNA from 1 species
CAUUUUUAACGGCCGCGGUACUCUGACCGUGCAAAGGUAGCAUAAUCAUUUGCCUUAUAAUUGAAGGCUUGUAUGAAUGGUUUGACAAGAAUAGAUCUGUCUCUUUAUAAUUAACUAAAAUUUUAUUUAUAGGUGAAGAAGCCUAUAUUAAAUUGAAAGACAAGAAGACCCUAUCGAGCUUUAAAGUAAUUAAUAAAACUAAAAUCAUAUAUAUAUAUUGAAUUAGUUAUUAAAAAUUUUAGUUGGGGCGACUAAGGAACAAACAAAGCUUCCUUGAAAUUUUAAUACUUGCAGGUUGUGAUCCAAAUGCUUUGAUUAAAGAAAUUAGUUACCGUAGGGAUAACAGCAUUAUCUUUUUUAAGAGCUCAAAUCGAAAAAAAGCUUUGUGACCUCGAUGUUGGACCAGAAUGUCCUAAAGAUGUAGCCGUCUUUAAGGGUUGGUCUGUUCGACCAUUAAAAUUCUACGUGAUCUGAGUUCAGACCGGCGUGAGCCAGGUCAGUUUCUAUCUUCAAUUUUUAAUGUGGACUUAGUACGAAAGGAUUAGUCUAUAAUAAAAAUUAUUAUGUUUGAUAAAGUAUAAAGUAAAAUUUAGUAAUUUAAUAUCAAUCAAAUUAGCAAAGAUAAUGCAAUUGAUUUAGGAUCAAUAGACAUAGGUGAAAAUCCUUUAUUUGAUAUUAUAAAGAUGGCAGAUAAA